AGUCAUGAGUGCCAGCGUCAAGCCCCGGCUUGCUGGCCGGCAACCCUCCGACCGGGGUGGGGUGCUCCGGGUGAUGACACGGUCGGUGGAACCCCACCGACAAGCCUGUUGU
rnacentral:ncRNA from 2 species